rnacentral:lncRNA from 1 species
GUUGUUGAACCUACUUUUCAUCUUAGAAUGGUUAAGAGUCUUGUGUUAUGAAUUGAAGAUAUAUGUCAUGUUUGAAUGUGUAUUAGGGUGAUAUAUGAGUUGUGUACUCCUAUGAUUGUAUUCAUGAGUUGUUUAAGGUGAUUAGAUGAGUUGUCUAGUCUCUGGUUUUGUUAUUUGAGCAUAUCAAUGUUUAAUUGAUUAUAAAAAAUAGCUUAAAUGUCUUGUAAUUGAUGAGUUAUCAUACUUGAACAUUUAGUGAGUUGGUUGCAUGAAUU